AUUGAACGCUGGCGGCAUGCCUUACACAUGCAAGUCGAACGGCAGCACGGGAGCAAUCCUGGUGGCGAGUGGCGAACGGGUGAGUAAUACAUCGGAACGUGCCCAAUAGUGGGGGAUAGCCCGGCGAAAGCCGGAUUAAUACCGCAUACGACCUACGGGUGAAAGCGGGGGAGUCGCAAGACCUCGCGCUACUGGAGCGGCCGAUGUCGGAUUAGCUAGUUGGUGGGGUAAAGGCCUACCAAGGCUACGAUCCGUAGCUGGUCUGAGAGGACGACCAGCCACACUGGGACUGAGACACGGCCCAGACUCCUACGGGAGGCAGCAGUGGGGAAUUUUGGACAAUGGGCGCAAGCCUGAUCCAGCCAUGCCGCGUGCGGGAAGAAGGCCU
rnacentral:rRNA from 1 species